rnacentral:rRNA from 1 species
GACGAACGCUGGCGGCGUGCCUAAUACAUGCAAGUAGAACGCUGAAGGAGGAGCUUGCUUCUCCGGAUGAGUUGCGAACGGGUGAGUAACGCGUAGGUAACCUGCCUGGUAGCGGGGGAUAACUAUUGGAAACGAUAGCUAAUACCGCAUAACAGUAGAUGUUGCAUGACAUUUGCUUAAAAGGUGCAAUUGCAUCACUACCAGAUGGACCUGCGUUGUAUUAGCUAGUUGGUGAGGUAACGGCUCACCAAGGCGACGAUACAUAGCCGACCUGAGAGGGUGAUCGGCCACACUGGGACUGAGACACGGCCCAGACUCCUACGGGAGGCAGCAGUAGGGAAUCUUCGGCAAUGGACGGAAGUCUGACCGAGCAACGCCGCGUGAGUGAAGAAGGUUUUCGGAUCGUAAAGCUCUGUUGUAAGAGAAGAACGAGUGUGAGAGUGGAAAGUUCACACUGUGACGGUAUCUUACCAGAAAGAGACGGCUAACUACGUG